GACGAACGCUGGCGGCGUGCCUAAUACAUGCAAGUUGAGCGAUGAAGAUUGGUGCUUGCACCAAUUUGAAGAGCAGCGAACGGGUGAGUAACGCGUGGGGAAUCUGCCUUUGAGCGGGGGACAACAUUUGGAAACGAAUGCUAAUACCGCAUAACAACUUUAAACAUAAGUUUUAAGUUUGAAAGAUGCAAUUGCAUCACUCAAAGAUGAUCCCGCGUUGUAUUAGCUAGUUGGUGAGGUAAAGGCUCACCAAGGCGAUGAUACAUAGCCGACCUGAGAGGGUGGUCGGCCACAUUGGGACUGAGACACGGCCCAAACUCCUACGGGAGGCAGCAGUAGGGGAUCUUCGGCAAUGGACGAAAGUCUGACCGAGCAACGCCGCGUGAGUGAAGAAGGUUUUCGGAUCGUAAAACUCUGUUGGUAGAGAAGAACGUUGGUGAGAGUGGAAAGCUCAUCAAGUGACGGUAACUAACCAGAAAGGGACGGCUAACUACGUG
rnacentral:rRNA from 1 species